AGGACGAACGCUGGCGGCGUGCUUAACACAUGCAAGUCGAGCGGAAAGGCCCUUCGGGGUACUCGAGCGGCGAACGGGUGAGUAACACGUGAGUAAUCUGCCCCUAGCUCUGGGAUAGCUCCGGGAAACCGGGAUUAAUACCAGAUACGACCACUUUAGACAUCUGCUGUGGUGGAAAGAAUUUCGGCUAGGGGAUGAGCUCGCGGCCUAUCAGCUUGUUGGUGAGGUAACGGCUCACCAAGGCGACGACGGGUA
rnacentral:rRNA from 1 species